rnacentral:rRNA from 1 species
CCUACGGGAGGCAGCAGUGGGGAAUAUUGCACAAUGGGGGAAACCCUGAUGCAGCAACGCCGCGUGAGUGAAGAAGUAUUUCGGUAUGUAAAGCUCUAUCAGCAGGGAAGAAAAUGACAGUACCUGACUAAGAAGCCCCGGCUAACUACGUGCCAGCAGCCGCGGUAAUACGUAGGGGGCAAGCGUUAUCCGGAUUUACUGGGUGUAAAGGGAGCGUAGACGGCUGCGCAAGUCAGAAGUGAAAGCCCGGGGCUCAACCGCGGGACUGCUUUUGAAACUGUGUAGCUAGAGUGCAGGAGAGGUAA